UGGGGAAUUUUGGACAAUGGGGGCAACCCUGAUCCAGCAAUGCCGCGUGUGUGAAGAAGGCCUUCGGGUUGUAAAGCACUUUUGUCCGGAAAGAAACGUCGUGGUUAAUACCCGUGGCGGCUGACGGUACCGGAAGAAUAAGCACCGGCUAACUACGUGCCAGCAGCCGCGGUAAUACGUAGGGUGCAAGCGUUAAUCGGAAUUACUGGGCGUAAAGCGUGCGCAGGCGGUCCGCUAAGACAGAUGUGAAAUCCCCGGGCUUAACCUGGGAACUGCAUUUGUGACUGGCGGGCUAGAGUAUGGCAGAGGGGGGUAGAAUUCCACGUGUAGCAGUGAAAUGCGUAGAGAUGUGGAGGAAUACCGAUGGCGAAGGCAGCCCCCUGGGCCAAUACUGACGCUCAUGCACGAAAGCGUGGGGAGCAAACAGGAUUAGAUACCCUGGUAGUCCACGCCCUAAACGAUGUCAACUAGUUGUCGGGUCUUCAUUGACUUGGUAACGUAGCUAACGCGUGAAGUUGACCGCCUGGGGAGUACGGUCGCAAGAUUAAAAACUCAAA
rnacentral:rRNA from 1 species